rnacentral:misc_RNA from 1 species
UACGGAGGGGACUAGCGUUGUUCGGAAUUACUGGGCGUAAAGCGCACGUAGGCGGAUCAGCAAGUUAGGGGUGAAAUCCCAGGGCUCAACCCUGGAACUGCCCUUAAAACUGUUGGUCUUGAGUUCGAGAGAGGUGAGUGGAAUUCCGAGUGUAGAGGUGAAAUUCGUAGAUAUUCGGAGGAACACCAGUGGCGAAGGCGGCUCACUGGCUCGAUACUGACGCUGAGGAGCGAAAGCGUGGGGAGCAAACAGG